rnacentral:rRNA from 1 species
UACGUAGGGUGCGAGCGUUGUCCGGAUUUAUUGGGUUUAAAGGGUGCGUAGGCGGGAGAAUAAGUCUGCUUUUAAAGUCGGCCGCUCAACGGUCGUAGGGGAGCGGAUACUGUUUUUCUUGAGAGAUCUGGGGGCUGGCGGAAUUUGUGGUGUAGCGGUGAAAUGCAUAGAUACCACAAGGAACACCGAUCGCGUAGGCAGCUAGCCACGGAUUUUCUGACGCUGAGGCACGAAAGUGUGGGGAGCAAACAGG